AAGUCGUAACAAGGUUUCCGUAGGUGAACCUGCGGAAGGAUCAUUUCCAAUACCCUUCUAGGCUAACUGUGUUGGAGGUUGAGGUGAGUGGAUGGCCUGUAAGGGCUGCUGGCUUGCCUUGUCUCUGACAUGGUUUGACUAACACAUUGUGAACUAGUUACUGCUUUGUGCGCCUUGUGCGUAUGAAGGAGCCCUUGGCGGGAUGAACAGGUUUUGUUCGCGAAGUCUUGCCGAGGGACCACUUAACUAUAACCUUUUGUAACCUUUGUCUUAAAACGUAUGAACUACAACUUUAUACAACCUUUAACAAUGGAUCUCUUGGUUCCU
rnacentral:misc_RNA from 1 species